GGGGAAUAUUGGACAAUGGGCGAAAGCCUGAUCCAGCCAUGCCGCGUGUGUGAAGAAGGUCUUCGGAUUGUAAAGCACUUUAAGUUGGGAGGAAGGGCAGUAAGCUAAUACCUUGCUGUUUUGACGUUACCGACAGAAUAAGCACCGGCUAACUCUGUGCCAGCAGCCGCGGUAAUACAGAGGGUGCAAGCGUUAAUCGGAAUUACUGGGCGUAAAGCGCGCGUAGGUGGUUCGUUAAGUUGGAUGUGAAAUCCCCGGGCUCAACCUGGGAACUGCAUCCAAAACUGGCGAGCUAGAGUAGGGCAGAGGGUGGUGGAAUUUCCUGUGUAGCGGUGAAAUGCGUAGAUAUAGGAAGGAACACCAGUGGCGAAGGCGACCACCUGGGCUCAUACUGACACUGAGGUGCGAAAGCGUGGGGAGCAAAC
rnacentral:rRNA from 1 species